UACAGAGGGUGCGAGCGUUGUCCGGAACCACUGGGCGUAAAGGGCGCGUAGGUGGCGCCGCAAGUCCAUGGUGAAAGCUCGAUGCUCAACAUCGAGUCGGCCACGGAGACUGCGGGGCUCGAGCACUGUAGGGGCAGAUGGAAUUCCGGGUGUAGCGGUGGAAUGCGUAGAGAUCCGGAAGAACACCGGUGGCGAAGGCGGCCCGCUGGGCAACUGCUGACACUGAUGCGCGACAGCGUGGGGAGCAAACAGG
rnacentral:rRNA from 1 species